GACGUAGGGGGCGAGCGUUGUCCGGAUUUAUUGGGCGUAAAGCGUGCGUAGGCGGCUGCGCAAGUCGGUUGUGAAACCCCGGGGCUCAACCCCGGAACUGCAUCCGAUACUGCGUGGCUAGAGGUAGGUAGGGGAGAUCGGAAUUCCUGGUGUAGCGGUGAAAUGCGUAGAGAUCGGAAAGAACACCAACGGCGAAAGCACUCUGCUGGGCCGACACUGACACUGAGAGACGAAAGCUAGAGGAGCGAAUGGG
rnacentral:rRNA from 1 species